AUGAGGGCAAUCUGGUUAAGAAUAUAGGAAGGAUCCAUUAAAAAGUCUAUGAACACGAAAUACCAGAAAGUUGUCUAUAGUAAAGACUUUAUGAAAGUUCAACACAGAAUUCUCCACUAUGAUAGCAUCAAACAACAACUACUCUUAUUAACAAUUUUUAGCUGCUCCUUAGGGAAGGAUGUAUUCCCAUGAUCCUUCUCAAUAUAUGUAUGAUUUCAUUUUAAAAUAAGAUCAGAUUAUGGCAUAUUAAAAUUAUUAAUAAACAAUAUAUAUCUCAAUCUCAGGUGGAAAAAUAAACUAUGCUUAUGAUAAACUAAUAUCCAAGAGAACAAAGACUAUAUCAGCUCAUUCCAAACAUGGGUAUUUCAUAAAUUAUGCAAAAAAUAAAACAAAGAUUAAAUUGAAGAUAAAUUAUUACUCUGAGUGUCCAGUGCUGAGACCGUGACUUAAAAAGUUAUCAAGUACUUUUUGCUGGAUGAAGAUGAGGAUGGGGAUUUUGUCCUGCUCCAGGAUCAAGGUUCUGUUCUGUUUCUCUGGAGCGGCUUCAUUCAGCCAUGCAUGAAUUCUCCACCAAGACCAAGAGACAUGUGCACAACAUUGGAAUGUGCAAAACCAAGGGACACCUACACACACACACACACACACACACACACACACACACACAUACAUACAUACACACACACACACACAUCCGUACAUGAACAUGUACAUAUACAUAUUCACACCUAGUAGAGGGUUUGGGGGUGACCCUCUUAUGGCUAUGAUAUAAUCCAUGUGAGGUUAUAAACAAAGUUCCCUGCUAUAUGGUUAGAGAUGGACUCCAGCUUCAGUCUCUGUGCUCAAACACAUCUACUUUGAAAGCCUCCUAUCAUUCUCAGGACUACUUAAAAUGCUGCCCAUACAAAUAACUGUUCCUAUAACAUGCACUCAUGGCUAAUAACAAGCUAAUUGCUUAACUGUGUUUAUAGCUGUAAAUUAAUUACUAAUGCACUUUUAUUUAGAGUAGUUCUAAACACUUUUUUUUUAAAUCAUUUGUUUCAACACGUGGAUCUAAGGCACUUCAGAAUUUACAAUUGGAUGGUGGAUGGAGAUUUGACUGUUGCACAACUUCAAGCUCAUGAUUAAAUUCUGAAAUACUUGCUCAGACUGAAAUGUUGAAUAAUGUGCCAUCUUAUCAGCAACUACCCUGGGAGUUUGAGCUUGGGCUGACGUAAAUGGUAUAAUUACACUCCACAGAAAGAGCUAGUAAAUCCAUGUUUAUAUUUUAGGGCCUGCUUAGUUUAAUUUGUAUUGGUAUUAUUAUAACAAUCCAAUUUGUAGUGUGCACAGUUGGUAUUUAAUAAGUAGUUUUUCUACUUUACAUUACCAGAAAAAUAAUUGUAUCUCCAUGGUUACUGUUAUCUGCUAAUAUUAGUCUUUAUUUUAAGUUGCUAAUUUUCUAAUGCUAGCCCUGUAGACACAAGUUCUGAACUUUUAUUUGUGGGACAUAUUUUACAUUAUCAUUAGGUAGUGAAAAAAUCCAUUAUGAUUGUCCUUUAAGUAACUUUACAUGAGGAUAAUCCAGAGGGCCAAAAGUCAUUCUUUUCAUUCUGUUUGUCCUAAGUUAAUAAGUUCUAUGUGGGAAAAUAGUCUACUUGCCUUUUAAAUGUCUUUUUCUUUUUUCUUUAUCAUCCCCUCUAAGAAUUUCCUUCUGUGUGUUUCCUGAUGACCAAUAAUUUCCUAGACAAUGACUAGAAUUCUCAGUGAAUAUGUUGUCUGUAAAUGUAAGUCAUUAGUCUUGUUUAACAGCUAUUUUCAUCAGUUUUCUUCACCUUUACUCAAUUACCCUUGAAGACUCUUUCAUUUAUUUAAUAUCAUCAGUCUAACUUUAUGACUAUUAUUAUCCACUCUACUCCCCAAAUUAAUGGAGAGCAUUCUAUGAAGUGAGGGUGUCUCAAGUGUGAGUGGAUAACUUGUGGGAUAAUAAGACAAUUGACUCUUACUUAUACUACAUAUCACAAAUAUUCCACAAAAUAUCCUCUAUUUACCUGAUUCUUGGAUCCAGAACAACAUGGUUUCCAGAGACUCUAGACUCAUAAUUUCUAGAGAAUAUGUUUAAAUCCUAUUGAGCUGAUUAGUUUUUGGUUAACACUAAGCUGAAAAUUGAAUCUUUGGUGACAGUUUCCAAGAACAAAGCCUCUGCCCACAAGGAGACAGAAGUUACAGAUCUUCAGAACAUCCCUCUGUGGCUCCCUUUUCCUCAUCAUUGGAAACAACAAACCCCAGCAUCUGGCUCUGCAUCUUGUGGGUAGAUGCUCAUUCCAUUGGCUCCUGGAUCUUGUGGCUCCUUACAUCACAACGUACUUAGUAGUUCCUCAAGCAAAAGCCAACUUCAAGCUGAGAUUCCUAUCGUCUGCAGUCCAGAGUCAAAUGUUUGCCUCACAUUUGUAAUGUUGCCUGUCCUAUUUUAUUUCCGAUAAAGUGGUUCAUUAUUCUUUUCUUAUUAUUUUGUUCUUGGUUAUUGGUGGAUUUUUACUUUUACUUUUAUAUUUUUAGAUAGUUGCACAAUAUAGUCCAUCUUGGUCUGAAACUUGAUAUUUAACCAAGCUGGUUUCAAACUCCUGCUACUCCUGAUUUGACUUAACAAGGGAUUGUAGGAUUACAAGAUUGACUUAGCAUACCUACCUUAUCUGUAUUAUUCUUAACACUUGGCUUAUAUAGUAACAUUUAGACUCUGUCAUUUCUGAAGACUUUUAGAUGUUAAGGUUGUAGGGGACCUCAGGAUAUAUCAAAUGGGGUAUCUCCGGCCUGGCUAUGCGCUCUCUAAGCUCCCAAUCAUUUUGCAUGUAAACAUUUUGAGUUCAGGUUAGAUUUGGUAACAUUUUUAAAGCCAACAAAUUCAGUUUAAAAAUUCUCAAGUAUUUUUUUAAACUAAAUCGAUUCUCAAAGAUGGAUUAUAUAAAUAUGGCAGCUUCUAAAAUUAAAGCAGCAAAGACCCAUUGUGCCUUACUGCAUUCUUACAAAAUAGGUACUAUCCAUCUUUGCUCCUCUUACACUCCUGGACUGAACCCAAAGGGCAUAUCUUCUCCAUCAUAGGCAGCAUACUGGAACUCCACUAAACUAAAUUGGUGUGCUCUUUAUUUAAACACAAGUACAUCUAAGAGGAGCUACAAGAGCUAUUGAUUGUACUUAUGCUAUAGUGUUCAUGUUCUUAGAGAGCCAGAAAUCUCAGAGGCAGUUAGAAAAUAAUGUUUUACUACAGCCGCCAACCUCUAUUGAAAUAUAGAAAGAUUUGAGGAGACAAUUUUCUUUGAAGAAUGACACCUCAUUGUACAUGUUAAAGAAUAUCUCAGCUUGUAGAUGUAACUAGCUGUUAAAUAUUAUACACAGUUUUAGGUUUGAAACAUUGCUCCCGCAUCACGCCCUCUCUCUAUUCUGAACAGGAAAUUGAUUUGGCAUAAGUGAAUGAUAGAUAGGAGCUGUAAACCGUCUCUCUAUAUAGAUUUGUUGUAUUUUUCGAAAAUUGCCCUUAAACUAUAAAACACGAUGCUGUAGGCAGUCUUUUGCAUAGUUCUUUCAAUUGGGUAAUAAAAUAUUGAACAAUAUUCCAGAUAGGAGAAUUGCCAUGUGUCACUGUUAUAUGCCUGAUGGAAAUAUUUCAUCUACUUUGAGUAAUGAGUAGUAGGAGAUAAAGGUUGAUUACAGCUUCACAGGACUGUCUCACAGAUAGGAUUGUUCUGCUACUAUGCAUGUACUAAGGGAAAUCAAACAGGAAUUUCAUUAUACUUAGCAUUUAAAAACCUAAUGCUUUUUAAAUUGCUUCUUAUUCCUGUGUGCCCCUGCUCUUGUUUCUAAACCCCCC
rnacentral:lncRNA from 1 species